UUGUAUAAAAUUCGCGUAUUAUAUCGAUUUCUUUAUAUUUAAUUAUAAAAUGGUUUAGGUGUUUUAUGUUCAUAAAUAAUUUUUGAUUUAUUUCAAUAUAAUAUGUACAUUAUAAUUUGGGAAUAGAGUUACAUAUAAGGACUCUAUUCCUUCACGGGUAUCGGGUAGGUAGGUCGUUAUUAAACGGAUUCAUAAAAUUUUCGCCUAAUCUUGAUUGAUUAGAAAAAAAUUUUUGAUUCGUUUCGCAGUUGAUUUUGCAUUUUUUCCAAAUUAUAAUAAUUUAUUAUUGAUUAUGUAAUAAUUGAUAUGAUUUUUAUAUAAUUGGCUUUAUAAUAUUAGAAGUAGAGUCAUAGCUCGUGGGUCUCCGUAUGCAGCAACCUCCAAGUGGUGAGACCCGGGCAAUCGAUAUUAUUUGCGAUCAAAUAAUUAUUUAAAAAAAAUGUAACGCAAAUGAUGUCGAGCUAAUGGCUGCCUAAAUUCAAUCAAAAUUUUCAUGUUCUAUUAUUGAUUCUUUUCGAUUCUUAUGACUGUUCUUUCUAAUGAUGAAGUAACUAAUUAAAUUUAUCGAAGUAUCGAAUAUUUUUCUAAAAUGAUAUUUUUAAAUAUAAAAUUUGUAAAAAUUAUGUAUAAUAUAAAUACAUUGACGUUAUCAUUACUUGUAAACGUUGAAAGUUUUAAAUGGAAAGGAUCAUUUAUUCUCAACGUUGUCCGAUCCUUUACAAUUUACAAGGUCGUAAAGAUAGUACUGCAUGGUGAAAAGCACUUUGUGAAAGCCAAGGAUAAGAUCUUAUUAUACACGUAAUUUUGAUAGAAUAUGAAUAUCAAUGAUUUUUGAAUGAUCCGAUGAGAAUGAUACUUUCAUUUUUAAAAGUUUGUUUAUGUACAAAAGUGCACGAACAAAUAGCCAACGGACAUUACUUACGUAUUAAAAAGACGGACUUGUGAUAUUGCGUAAACGUUUAUGCGUACAAGCAGAGAAAGAGAGAGGGAGAGAGAGAGAAUGAGUGAGUGGGCGUACACAGCGGCGAUGAAACGCGAGAAGCUCGACGCAAUUUGCGUGGCGAUAUAUAUCGACCUCGUCUGGUUAUAUCGUUUCGUAAAAAAGAUCUCUUGUAGUUAACUGGCAGAUAAUUUCAUGGCAAUUUCAGCGGUUACUUCGAACCGCCACUCUCUCUCUCUCUCUCUCUCUCUCUCUCUCUCUCUCUCUCUCUCUCCCUAUCUCUUUCAUGCUUUCUUCGUUUUCUCAGUACCUCUCACUUUCUCAUACACCCACUAAUCGAGCUCGUUUACCUUCUACAAGCAUUCACGUACCUUCAUCUUUCUCUCACUUGUAGAUUGUAAGGAACGUUUAACUCUCUCACGUGAUACGUACUAUAAGUACGUAUUUAAAUCAGAAGUUGUAUGAUCUAGAUUAGAAGAAAUUCUUUUUGAGAAAUAUCAAAAAAAUUCUGAUCAUUUCAUUUGAUGUGUUAAAAUCUUUUAUAUUUAUUAUAUAAAUUUAUACGUAUAGCGAUAGAAAAAGAGAGAGAGAGAGAGAGAGAGAGAGAGAGAGAGAGAGAGAGAAAAAGAGAAUAUUUGCUAUCGAUGAAACACGUGAGAGAAGGUAUUCAAGUUGCCUGAAGCUUCGAUAUAUAUCUUUUAGUGGAAAUUCAUUUUGAAAUACUAAGAAACAUACGUCUCACUUGACGAGUUUCGAUGAAGUCGGCAUGGAAAUGAGUCUCUCGGUCGUUCGCCUUCAUCGAUCAUCAUUAUCACCUGUUAGCAAUCAUUACACACCGUUCUCGUUACCAAAUUAUCUGAUGGACUAUGGAAAAUAGAAGAAAUCAUUUAGUUCUCCUUUCCUAUUUAUUUCUUUUCUCUCUUUUUUCUCUCUUUUUGUUUCUUUUCUUAAAUAUUAUUCCUUUCUUUGUUAGAUUUAAAUGUUUUGAUAGAAAUAAUAAUCAUUUAGAUCAAUUUUUAUUUAUUUUGAUCGUGAACGUUUUAGAAAUUGCUUGGAUGGAAAAUUUCAAUGCUCCCAUCUUAAUGGGUUUCUAUAAAUCAAUAUCUUAUAAAACAAGAACAUGGUCUGUUUCAAGCUGGCAGAUUCAUAGAAUCUUCUUCGCGUGUAAUCGUUUAUUUUAUUUACGGAUUUCUCUUCUCUAUCAUGAAUUCUUCUAUUUCGAUUAGUCAAGUACUCCCUGGCGCCUGGUAUUAAUCCCUCCGGCAACGGCAAAUUUAUUUUUCGAUACUCGAGUGGUCGACUAACGUUUGUAAGCAAAAAAAAGAAAAAAAAAAGAAAAAGUAAAAGAAAAAGAAGAAAAUGAAAACGAAAGAAAACGGUUUAGUUGGUCUCGAUGGCAAAACGAAACCAGAUUGCGUUUCGUCUGUCGAUAAAUUCUUUUUUACAUUCCUCUCUACCAUCACGUACGAGAAAAAUAAUUACGCGUAGAGUUAUAUAGACAGGGAGCUAUUUAAAACUGAAUUUGUUUUCAAAUUCGUCGAAUUUUUCGAGUUUAUUUAUCAAGCAGUAAGACUUCCGGUUCAUUGACCUUUCUUUUCUUUUUCUUUUUUUUCUUUUCUUUUUCUUUUGAUACGACAGAACGUUACGUGACUUGGCAAAUAAGAAUGAAAAAGGAAGGAGAAAAGAGAAUUGCGUUGAAACACGCGAUUAAUGGUGCCAAUUCAAUUAUCAGAGACGACGAGCUUGCCAGCUCGUAAAUCGUUCUCGUUCGUCGGACUCGUCAUUCUUGAAGAAGGUGUUCGAGAAACUAUCCUACAAUGAUGUGGUCAUCGUAGCAAGAGAGAGAGAGAGAGAGACAGAGAGAGAAUAGAAAAGAAAAGAAAGAAGAAGAAGAAGAAGAGGAAGAAGAGGAAGAAGAGGAAGAAGAGGAAGAAGAGGAAGAAGAGGAAGAGAAGGAAGAGAAGGAAAAAAAAGGAAGGAAGGAAGGAAAAGUAUAACAUAUUUUACGAUCGACUCUGACAAACGAGUUGAGGACCCCUGUCGAGGAAGACUUCCUCUUGAACGCCCAUGCCCUACGCCCACGUAUCCAGACUCGAGAGGGAAAUACGAAGACGAAGACUUCGGGAGAGUCUUAACUCACGGACGUAAGGAUCGUGGGAUAGAAGAGAGCUCGGAUAAAGCUUGUCACGUGUCACCUGCGAAAGGAAUACUUGUAGGUAUGCAGAAGCGUAUCCGUUUCGGCGUAACAUAAAAGAGAAGCUCUUCCAGUCCUCUUGUAAAACGUUGUCGUAAGUAACUUUCGAGUUAGCCAUCGAUCUCGAAAGAAUUAUCGACUUGUACCUAAGACGAAUAGAAUUGUAGAUUAAUUACCAA